rnacentral:rRNA from 1 species
CUACGUGCCAGCAGCCGCGGUAAUACGUAGGUGGCAAGCGUUGUCCGGAAUUAUUGGGCGUAAAGCGCGCGCAGGCGGAUUGGUCAGUCUGUCUUAAAAGUUCGGGGCUUAACCCCGUGAUGGGAUGGAAACUGCCAAUCUAGAGUAUCGGAGAGGAAAGUGGAAUUCCUAGUGUAGCGGUGAAAUGCGUAGAUAUUAGGAAGAACACCAGUGGCGAAGGCGACUUUCUGGACGAAAACUGACGCUGAGGCGCGAAAGCCAGGGGAGCGAACGGGAUUAGAUACCCCGGUAGUCCUGGCCGUAAACGAUGGGUACUAGGUGUAGGAGGUAUCGACCCCUUCUGUGCCGGAGUUAACGCAAUAAGUACCCCGCCUGGGGAGUACGACCGCAAGGUUGAAACUCAAAGGAAUUGACGGGGGCCCGCACAAGCGGUGGAGUAUGCGGAUUAAUUCGAUGCAACGCGAAGAACCUUACCAAGGCU